rnacentral:rRNA from 1 species
AGUGAAUAGAUACCCAGGUAGUCCACGCCGUAAACUAUGAACACUGGGUGUCGGGAAACUUACCUUCUCGGUACCGUAGCUAAACGCGUUAAAGUGUUCCGCCUGAGGAUUACGGUCGCAAGAUUAAAACUCAAAGAAAUUGACGGGGGCCCGCACAAGCGGUGGAGUAUGUGGUUUAAUUCGACGCAAACGCGAAAAACCUUACCUGGGCUUGACAUCCCGCGCUAUCCCAUGAAAGUGGGAGUUCCCGCAAGGGACGCGGAGACAGGUGCUGCAUGGCUGUCGUCAGCUCGUGUCGUGAGAUGUUGGGUUAAGUCCCGCAACGAGCGCAACCCUCGCCAUCAGUUGCCAGCAUUAAGUUGGGCACUCUGAUGGGACCGCUUGCCGAUAAGGCAGAGGAAGGUGGGGAUGACGUCAAGUCCGCAUGGCCCUUACGCCCAGGGCCACACACGUACUACAAUGAUCAACACAAAGCGCAGCGAGCCUGUGAAGGCAAGCUAAUCGCAAAAAAUUGGUCCAAGUUCGGAUUGGAGUCUGCAAC